AUUGAACGCUGGCGGCAGGCCUAACACAUGCAAGUCGAACGAGUGGCGGACGGGUGAGUAAUGUCUGGGAAACUGCCUGAUGGAGGGGGAUAACUACGGGAAACGGUAGCUAAUACCGCAUACAAUCGGGUGUGCCCAGAGGGGAUUAGCUAGUAGGUGGGGUAACGGCUCACCUAGGAGACGAUCCCUAGCUGGUCUGAGAGGAUGACCAGCGAGACUGGAACUGACACACGGUCCAGACUCCUCAUGGAGCCAGCAGUGGGGAGUAGUGAACAAUUGGCUCAAGCCUGAUGCAGCCACGCCGGGUGUAUGGAGAAUGCCUUCGGUGUGUAAAGUACUUUCAUCGAUGAGGCGUUACCCGCAGAAUAAGCACCGGCUAACUCCGUGCCAGCCGCCGCGGUAAUAC
rnacentral:rRNA from 1 species